GAAGUUCGCCAGGCAACCGCUGAUCGCGCAAUCGAUUGGAGGAAAGUCCGGGCUCCACAGGGCGGGAUGCCGGCUAACGGCCGGGCGCAGCAAGUCGAAAGACCCAAGGCGACGGAAAGUGCAACAGAAAGAUACCGCCGAUGGCCGCAAGGCACAGGCAAGGGUGAAAUGGCGAGGUAAGAGCUCACCGCGGACGUGGCAACACGGACGGCAUGGCAAACCCCAUCCGGAGCAAGGCCAAAUAGGGGAGCAUUGGCGCGGCCCGCGUCGCUCCCGGGUAGGCUGCUAGAGGCCGUCGGUAACGGCGGUCCCAGAGGAAUGGUUGCCCACGACAGAACCCGGCUUAUCGGCGGACUUCCCAC
rnacentral:RNase_P_RNA from 1 species